GGGCACUCCUGAGUCACAGGCUCAGAAGCUUUCGCCUCCGCCUUCAGACUGGCCCUCAGGCUUCCCUGCUCAGAGGCAGGGAAUUGUGCAGCUGGAGUUUCAUUUUCCAAGAGGCAGGGUCUCAGUCUGUCACCCAGGCUGGAGUACAGUGGCACCAUCUUGGCUCACUCUAGCCUCGACCUCCUGGGCUCAAGUGAGCCUCCUACCUCAGUCUCCCAAAAUGCUGGGAUUACAAGCAUGAACCACUGUGACUUGCCUUCUUGGCAAUUUUAAAUGAAAGAAGAAGAUGGAAUAAUGCCUACUGAGGACUAUGUUUGAGGGGUGUUGUAUGACCCCGUUUUCCAUACCCAGCCAACUUGUCAUGUGACAAGUCCACAGAAAGAUGUUAUAUGACAGGAAUCUAUGAACUAGUCUUCCCUGAAAUGUACCUGACUACAGCUAACAUCAUAUCACAUGAUGAAAGACCGCGUUGUUUUCCCCUGAGGUUGGCAGUGCAGGAAGAUGUACGUGAAAUAAUUCAUGGAAAAGUCACAGUGGCCUUGAAGUUCUCCAGAUAACUAUGAAAAACUACGUUAAGAUGCUAUUUUUCAACAAAAUUCAUUUUACCAACCUCAAAACGUAUUUCCUCCGAAGAGGAUACGCACUGACAAACAACACCCGAGUGUGGCAUGCUAGCAGGAGCACUAGGCUGGGAGUCAAGAGACUUAAAUUCCACCCGGAAGCCACCACAUGACCUUGGCAUGAGCCCGUCACCAGGCUCCUCAGCGUCCUCAUCGCAGCACCAGGGAUUUCCCAAGCCCUCCGGAAAUACUGUAACUUGACAACAAUGGAGAAAGACUUUCACCCAUGCGGUUGGAAUGCUAGCCUUAAAAUAUAUACAAUUGUUACAUGUCAAUAAAAAUAAAUAAAUAAAUGUUUAAAAAAAAAAA
rnacentral:lncRNA from 1 species